GCUGUGUAAAAUAGAAAUAUUCGAAACUAAAUUUCAUAUCGAUGUUUCAAGAUGGCUGCCUUCAGAACCAAAAAUUUUUUGUAUCCGCGAAAUGUCUUGCGUAUUAUUGAAAUUUUGUUAAGUAUUUUGGCAUUUUCUCUGAUUGCUAGCUGGAAAAAUCAUGGAUUGGGAUAUCUUAGCUUAAAUAAGGAUGAUUACAAUAUAAUCAACAAUGUCAAUUUUUUUCUGGGUGUGUCUGUCCUGACAUUUAUGGCUGCCAUUGCUAUGUGUACAUUAAUCCUCUUCAAUUCUUCAUUCAUAUCUCCAUUGAUGGAUUUGUUGAUUAAUGGUAUUCUAGGUGUAUUGUUGUCUUUGGCUACUAUUAUUUUAUGUGUAGCAAUGACAGAGGUUUCAAAAUCUGUUCCAGUUCAGGAAGCCAAUUUAUCGUUUUCACAUUUCGAAAUUGCUGUGGCUGUUGGGUUUAUGUGUGCAGUAUCUUUACUGGGUAGUACUUGGUAUGCCUUUAGAAUUCACAUAAAGAGGAGUGAAUUACCAUUGAAUAUGUCCCGGUCUAAUGCUGAUCUACCAGAAGAUAUCCCCACGUAGUCUGUGAUACCCUAAUAUUGCACCCAUUAUUUAAUCUAAAUUAGUUGUGAUGUGACCAAUGAAACGUUUUGGUUUUUUAUUGUGUUGUGUUAUCCUAGUCAGGAAAAUAUACAUUCCUUAUAAAUAUCAUAUCAAAUCAUUAUAACAUAAUUAUGAAUCUCAUUUUAAUAUUUAUUAUAGUAGUUGUACUAAAUCAUACAUUCUAGUCACCUAUAUAUCUUUUUAUGCUAAUAUUUAGGUCUCAAAUUGUUAUUUAUUUGACAACUGUUGUUAAUUAAAGUCCACUUCAAAGUUGAUCAAUUAAAAAUAUUUGAAAUGUUAUCAAAAAUCUUAAUUGGUCUCCGAAGUUAGGGAGGGUAAUGGCAAAGUAGGAUAGAAACUUUAUCUUUAUACCCCUCUCAAGUAGUUCGUGGAAUUAUAUAUGACCGUUAUCCCAUUUUAAUAAUGUAUACACAGUUGUAAUUAGAUUGUGAUAAUAGAUGAAUUGAUGAUUCGUUGAAAUACUUAGAGGUAUAGAAUAUCAAAUUAGUUUCUAUCAUCAGAUAUGAAAGUUUAUUCAUGCAAACCUUUUGGUAUUUGAAAUUAAAUAAGGAAUGGGGGAUUAACUAUGUAUCAUCCUGACUUCAGGUAUUAUUAAAGAGUAUACAUAUGUAGAUUAAUAAUACAUCAUAAAUCAUAUUAUAUUGUUGCAUUAAUAUAUUAGGAAUUGACAGUUUUUGUAUCACUAUUUUCAAUGUACAUAAGUGUAGGAGAUUUAAAAUUUUCACUUUUUCUAUACAAUAUAGUUUAAUAUCCUGAACAUUUUUUAUAUACCAUUUUGUUUUUUACAGUUUUCAUGUUGAAACUGUUUAAAGAUACAUUAUGUAAGAUUUAGAUAAUUCUUGCUAUAAUAAUUCGAAAAUAGAUAUGUAAAAUGAAUAAUUUGAAAAUUUCAUUCCAAUUACUCUAUUGCGAGCGAAGAUAUUAGCCUUUAAAAGGUUUGACAAGACGUGUGCAAAAAUUGCACUGUACUGGUUGUGCGAGGCUAAGUCUCGCUCCUCCAUUUUUAAAUUAAAUUAAAAUAUGGCUGAACCGUUCUAAUCUAUUUAAUAUCGGAGAAAUCCCAUGCCAUCAAGAGUUGAUUAUGCCUGGAUCAGUUAAUUAAUGUCUAAUUAAUCAUUUAGAAAACAUUUCAGGCUUAAAGAAAGACCUGCAAUAGGCAGAUUUGCAUAAUGUAUGUUUAAUAAUCUGUUACAAGUUAUUUACAAUGUAUGGCUUUUGAAUAAGGUUUUUUCCAUCAAAAUCCAACUAACAUGGUACUUAUGAAAUGCUUCAAACAAAUUGUGAUUUGGAUAGAACCCUGUUUUAUUUGACUUUAAAGGCAUUCUAUGAACUAACUUAUAUUCAAGAAUUUAUGAUUGAAAUAGAGCUGCUACUUUAUAAUACAUGAUGAAAAAUAGGUUUAUGAAUAUUUAUAUUAAAAUUGAAGGGCAACACAUUACACAUUAGAUAUGACAUUGAUGAAAAUACAGAACAUUUUUACAUUUGUGAUAUUUUUAUGCACAAAAAAAUUUGAGCUGCAUUUGAAAUUGUUGAAACUGAAAAUAUUGUAUUUAUUAUGCCUAAUUCUAUCCCAUACCAUAUACGGUCCAGGUCCAUGCCCAUACGGUCCAUGCCCAUACGUAAGCUUUCAUUCAUCUUUGUUUUUACUAACAAGAAAUUGUUGUUAUUAAUAUGUUUAUUUGGGUUUGUUUUAGAGAACAUGGACCACACAUUUUGCAUAGCAUAGUGUGAUCUGCACAUUUGCUUUAAUAUAUUCAAGAUAUUAAAUAUAUUUUUUAUUUUA